AGAGUUUGAUCAUGGCUCAGAAUGAACGCUGGCGGCGUGCUUAACACAUGCAAGUCGAACGGUAACAGGAAGUACUUGUACUUCGCUGACGAGUGGCGCACGGGUGAGUAAUAUAUAGGUUACGUGCCUCUUAGACUGGGAUAGCCACUGGAAACGGUGAUUAAUACUAGAUACUCCUACUUGUAGGGAAAGCUUUUGCGCUAAGAGAUCGGCCUAUACUGUAUCAGCUUGUUGGUGAGGUAAUGGCUCACCAAGGCGAUGACACAUAGCGGGUUUGAGAGGAUGAUCCGCCACACUGGUACUGAGACACGGACCAGACUCCUACGGGAGGCAGCAGUGAGGAAUAUUGCACAAUGGGCGAAAGCCUGAUGCAGCAACGCCGCGUGGAGGAUGACGCAUUUCGGUGUGUAAACUCCUUUUAUCAGAGAAGAAAAUGACGGUAUCUGAUGAAUAAGCUCCGGCUAACUCCGUGCCAGCAGCCGCGGUAAUACGGAGGGAGCAAGCGUUAUUCGGAAUCACUGGGCGUAAAGGACGCGUAGGCGGGUUAUUAAGUCAGAUGUGAAAUCCUAUGGCUCAACCAUAGAACUGCAUUUGAAACUGGUAACCUAGAGUAUGGAAGGGGAAAAUGGAAUUAGUGGUGUAGGGGUAAAAUCCGUAGAUAUCACUAGGAAUACCGAAAGCGGAGGCGAUUUUCUGGGACAUUACUGACGCUGAGGCGUGAAAGCGUGGGGAGCAAACAGGAUUAGAUACCCUGGUAGUCCACGCCCUAAACGAUGAAUGCUAGUCGUCNGAGAGCUCGUCUCUUCNGUGAUGCACUUAACAGAUUAAGCAUUCCGCCUGGGGAGUACNGUCGCAAGAUUAAAACUCNAAGGAAUAGACNGGGACCCGCNCAAGUGGUGGAGCAUGUGGUUUAAUUCNAAGAUACNCGAAGA
rnacentral:rRNA from 1 species